rnacentral:rRNA from 1 species
AUGCAGCGACGCCGCGUGAGGGAUGACGGCCUUCGGGUUGUAAACCUCUUUCAGCAGGGGAGAAGGCCUUCGGGUUGACGGUACCUGCAGAAGAAGCGCCGGCUAACUACGUGCCAGCAGCCGCGGUAAUACGUAGGGCGCAAGCGUUGUCCGGAAUUAUUGGGCGUAAAGAGCUCGUAGGCGGUUUGUCGCGUCUGCUGUGAAAACGCGAGGCUCAACCUCGCGCCUGCAGUGGGUACGGGCAGACUAGAGUGCGGUAGGGGAGACUGGAAUUCCUGGUGUAGCGGUGGAAUGCGCAGAUAUCAGGAGGAACACCGGUGGCGAAGGCGGGUCUCUGGGCCGUUACUGACGCUGAGGAGCGAAAGCAUGGGGAGCGAACAGGAUUAGAUACCCUGGUAGUCCAUGCCGUAAACGUUGGGCACUAGGUGUGGGACCCAUUCCACGGGUUCCGUGCCGCAGCUAACGCAUUAAGUGCCCCGCCUGGGGAGUACGGCCGCAAGGCUAAAACUCAAAGGAAUUGACGGGG